ACAAACGUGCUUCAUUUGGAAGCCACAGCAGAUAACCUCAGUUUCAUAACCAUAUGUGGCCAUUGCCACAAAGUUCAUGAUAGUUGGUUUAGUUGAUAAAAGCUUCCCAGGAACAUUGACUAACUGUUGCCAGCAGAUACCAUCACAGGAGGCAGACCCUCUAUGACGUCAUAGUAGCCAGAGCCUUUAAUUGCAUGAGCCUGGCACAGUUCACCUCAUAAGCUCACCAACCAUCAGAGCAGACAGGUUGGCUUGGCUCAACCAAGAAAUGAAACCUCUCCUCCUGGGCUCUUGAAACCAGCAAGCUGAAGCAGAGAUGGCGAGAUGCCCAGGCCAGCACCACCGCAGACCCCGACGUCGGAGGCGUUCCAUCCGAAGGACCAGGAGGAGCAGGAGGACGUGCGGCUGUAGAAAGCCAUCAAUGAAAAGGAGGCGGGGGUACGUGCGUGUUAUGACCACCUAUUACUAUAGGAGAUGAUCUGGGAAACCUGUCCGUGGGCCUGUCUUGAAACGUGCAUCUCAUCAGCAGUCCAUCAGCCACCUGCCUCUUGAGCCUGAAAACCAACAACGCCCAUCACAUAAGACACCAAAAGAAACGAGCAAGCAAAUGGGUGACUCUGCAAGACCCAGGAGCCCUCCUGCCGCAGGAGACGCGCCGCCAACCUGCCAGUAAAGUUGUAAAAUGCA